rnacentral:rRNA from 1 species
AACGUAGGUGGCAAGCGUUGUCCGGAUUUACUGGGCGUAAAGGGCGUGCAGGCGGUCUGUUAAGUGCAGGGUGAAAGCUCCCGGCUCAACUGGGAGAGGUCCUUGCAUACUGGCGGACUUGAGGGGGGUAGAGGAAAGUGGAAUUCCCGGUGUAGUGGUGAUAUGCGUAGAUAUCGGGAGGAACACCUGUGGCGAAGGCGGCUUUCUGGGCCCUACCUGACGCUGAGACGCGAAAGCGUGGGGAGCGAACCGG